CCAAGGAGUCUAGCAUGUGCGCGAGUCAUUGGGAAAUAACUAAACCUAAAGGCGCAAUGAAAGUUAAGGCCGGCCUCGCGCCGGCCGAGGGAAGAUGGGCGCCGCUUCAGGGCGGCGCCUCGCAUUCCCGGGGCGUCUCGUUCUCAUCGCGAGAAGAGGCGCACCAAGAGCGUACACGCUGGGACCCGAAAGAUGGUGAACUAUGCCUGGUCAGGACGAAGUCAGGGGAAACCCUGAUGGAGGUCCGUAGCGAUUCUGACGUGCAAAUCGAUCGUCGGAACUGGGUAUAGGGGCGAAAGACUAAUCGAACCAUCUAGUAGCUGGUUCCCUCCGAAGUUUCCCUCAGGAUAGCUGGCGCUCGCCGCGCACGAGUCUCAUCCGGUAAAGCGAAUGAUUAGAGGCAUUGGGGCCGAAACGGCCUCAACCUAUUCUCAAACUUUAAAUGGGUGAGAUCUCCGGCUUGCUCGAACCGUCGAACCGUUGAAGCCGCGAGACACGGAUCAGAGUGCCAAGUGGGCCAUUUUUGGUAAGCAGAACUGGCGCUGUGGGAUGAACCAAACGCCGAGUUAAAGCGCCCAAAUCGACGCUUAUGGGAUACCAUGAAAGGCGUUGGUAACUUAAGACAGCAGGACGGUGGCCAUGGAAGUCGGAAUCC
rnacentral:rRNA from 1 species